CGCCUCUUGAAGUAUAUAAGAGGUCCAGCCUGCCCAGUGACUUGUUUAACGGCCGCGGUAUCCUAACCGUGCGAAGGUAGCGUAAUCACUUGUCUUUUAAAUAAAGACUAGUAUGAAAGGCAUCACGAGGGUCAAACUGUCUCCUUUUUCUAAUCAGUGAAACUAAUCUUCCCGUGAAGAAGCGGGAAUUCCUCUAUAAGACGAGAAGACCCUAUGGAGCUUUAAACUGUAAAUUAUUAGCCUACCUAUUUACUCCCUCCAGAAAUUUAACACUUUAGGCCAAUUAAUUGUACGUUUUAGGUUGGGGUGACCUAGGAGAAAAACUAACCCUCCUAGCUGAUAUGGGCCAAACCCCUAAGAAAAAAGCCACAACUUUGAUUAUCAAUAAAUUGACAUCAAUUGACCCAGUCCGCUGAGCAACGAACCAAGUUACCCUAGGGAUAACAGCGCAAUCUACUUCAAGAGUUCCUAUCGACAAGUGGGUUUACGACCUCGAUGUUGGAUCAGGGUAUCCGAGUGGUGCAGCCGCUACUAAAGGUUCGUUUGUUCAACGAUUAAAACCCU
rnacentral:rRNA from 1 species